rnacentral:rRNA from 1 species
AGAGUUUGAUCAUGGCUCAGAAUCAACGCUGGCGGCGCGCCUAACACAUGCAAGUCGAACGAGAAAGUGGAGCAAUCCAUGAGUAAAGUGGCGUACGGGUGAGUAACACGUGGAUCAUCUGCCUUUUAGUGAGGAAUAACCAUGGGAAACCGUGGCUAAUACCGCAUAAGCCCGAGAGGGGAAAGUCGAAAGACGCUGAAAGAGGAGUCCGCGGCCGAUUAGCUAGUUGGUAGGGUAAAGGCCUACCAAGGCAAAGAUCGGUAGCCGGCCUGAGAGGGCACACGGCCACACUGGCACUGAAACACGGGCCAGACUCCUACGGGAGGCAGCAGUGGGGAAUCUUGCACAAUGGGGGAAACCCUGAUGCAGCGACGCCGCGUGAGCGAUGAAGCCCUUCGGGGUGUAAAGCUCUUUCGGCAGGGAAGAUUAUGACGGUACCUGCAGAAGCAGCUGCGGCUAACUACGUGCCAGCAGCCGCGGUAAUACGUAGGCAGCGAGCGUUGUUCGGAGUUACUGGGCGUAAAGGGUGUGUAGGCGGUUGUUUAAGUUUGGUGUGAAAUCUCCCGGCUCAACUGGGAGGGUGCGCCGAAUACUGAAUGACUUCGAGUGCGGGAGAGGAAAGUGGAAUUCCUGGUGUAGCGGUGAAAUGCGUAGAUAUCAGGAGGAACACCGGUGGUGUAGACGGCUUUCUGGACCGUAACUGACGCUGAGACACGAAAGCGUGGGUAGCAAACAGGAUUAGAUACCCCUGUAGUCC